CCACUGAUUGUGCCUGGGAGCGGCAGGAGGCAUGGGGCCAGGUUGGCCACCUGGAGGAGCAGCUGCAAUGUCACUCUCUUUGAUUCACAGUACUGCAAGGAAAGAUUCUCAGCUGGAAUGGCCAGAAGAUAAACAUUGUCUACAGAAAAAUGUUACAGACACACAGGAAAAAUAAGUGAAGUAUAAUAAACAAAAAAGUCUCCUGAA